GCAGGCACCUACCCAAGCUGUCCAUGCUUCUUCUGUAGCGACGGACAGCCAUCAGGUUGCCAUACAUAAUAACUUUCACUGACGGUCGCUGUUUGGUUCCUUAAUACCUUUCAGCAACAUAUAGGGGAAGAACAAAG
ensembl:snoRNA small nucleolar RNA SNORA16B/SNORA16A family